UCUCUCUCUCCUCUCACACCACAGAAACCUUAUCCCUUCCCUUUCCCGGAAUCGCCGCUUCUCUCUCGCGUACUAUUCCUCUCUCUCGUUCCUCGCGUAUUCCCCUCCACAUCUCCCUCCCGAUCCUCCCGCACGGCCAAAUCAAAGCCGCGACGUCCAGAUGCGAGACCUUAGCAAGCUUCCUACCCCCUCCGCAUCUCCCUCCCGAUCCUCCCCGCACGGCCCUCCCCACUCCACGCCGCUUCCCCUCGCUCCCGCUUUUCCCUUCGACGUUCUGCAUUUACCAGGAUGCGGGCGCUCGGAUGUGGUGGCAGACAGUUGCGAGGGUUUAGAUCCGAUGAAGGAGGCGACUCCGGUGGAAGGAUUCGGCUCGGUAGCAGCGUUCAUGGAAGCGGCGGAACGGUUUAUAGUUUUGAUUAAAGAUACGCGAGCCAAGGCGGAGGAGGCGUGCCGGCUUGCGGUUCUGAUUCAAGAGGCUACGGCAGGAGGCGGAUCGAAUGCGGUAGCAAUAUCGAAGCUUCGCAAGGUGGUGGCGACGGCGAGGGGUGGAGGCGGUUCAGAUGCGGCAAAGGCAUUGGAGGUUUGCAAGGCGGCGGAUGUGAUGCACAAGGAGGUGGCGGCGCCUGCGGAUCUGAUGCAGGAGGGGACAACGGCGGAGGAGGUGGCGGAGCCCGCGGAUCUGAUGCAGGAGGGGACAGCAGCGGAGGAGGUGGCUUUUUGACCUCCUUUUCUGAUUCCGGCGCCAACAACUGGGGACAUUGGCAGUGAUAUGCGUGGUUUAAUUCCAGUUGUGGAAAGUAUAUCAAGCAUAUCUCAUGGUGAGGUGAACAAUCCAUCGUACCACCAAAGGACAAUAUUGGAAGAUGAUAGCGACCACAAGGCCCUGUUCGAGAAGUCACUCGUCGGGCAAAUCAACAUCGAGGAUAUGAGUGGAAAAGCUAAGGAUGUGAUCAACGAGGAGGGGAGCAGCGAGGAUGGGAACAGUGAGGAGAUGAAGGAUAGCGACGAUGAUGUUGGCAUGGUCAUUGGGGGAUAUGCGCAAGAUCCAUACGAUGAUAGUGGCCUAGAAGAACUCAUGCAAGAUGAAGAUGCCUUGGAAAAAUCGGUCUGUAUGGAUCAUCCUCCCAAUGGACCAUAUAAAUGGUUCUUGUCCUUUUAGUUGUAUUGAACCAUUUUUCAUCUAUGUGCACAAUGUUUCGCAUAUCAAUGAACUUGGGUUGAUUUGGCAAAGUAUGCCAAUCUAACAUGGAAAGACACCACCGCAGCCUUGAUUGUUUAUUCUCUUCCUUCAACAAUGGCUUUAGUGUAUUUGAGUGACGUCUUAGUAGCCCUUCUUUCAACAUCUUAUGUAGUGUGCUCUUUGGUAUACCUGAGGCUGAUGCAAAUGACCGUAAAGUGCCUCUUUGUUGCAAGGGAACAUUAGCAACAUCUGUUAGGUUGAUUUCUUUCUUUUUGCGACCACAAUUCUUUUUUUUCCUAGACCUUACAUCAAUUGGUAUUCCCUGGGCACGGCAUUGCUUCACUCUUCGCCAAAUAGCUUGCACUCUAGCCCUUUUCACAUUAAACAUUGCUGCAACUUCAGUUGUAGCAUUUUUUCUCAGGAUUCCAUUGUUAGUUUUUCCAGCCAAUGCUGCAUAUAUCUGUUGCCUUUGUAUUUUGGUUAGAUUUUUGUUUUGAUGUUCAUCUUCCUCAUCUGAAUCAUCCAACUCCUCUUGUUCGAAAACAACAUCCACAUCACCCGCAUACACGCCGUACUCUUGCAUGUCUACAACAGCAAUUAUAAGGUCUUCCUCAUCGUCAUCAAAGUUGAGAUCAAAAGGAAAGGCAUUAUGGUUGUGACCUCCAUUUACUUGCAGAACUUGAUCCAUGACAUCAACAUCGUCUACAAUAACAAAUACCAUAUGCAUACAAGUUGAGAUCAAAAGGAAGCACAUGGUUGACACCUCCCUGGAAAUCACCUCCAGGAAGCUCAUGGUUGGCACCUCCCUGGAGAUCACCUCCAACCUGGUCAUCCUCCUGAUCAGCCACUGCUGCUUCUUCAGCCACUGCUUCAUUGAGAGAUAUGAAGGGAUAAAGUGGGAGGGAAACUUGUGUUUUUGCAGAGUUAUGAAGUGAUAAAGUGGGAGGGAAACUUCUGAUUUGAAACUUGUAGGGUUUGUUGUGGUGGGGUGUGCUAAAUUUGUAUUACAUCCCGCCAAUGAAGUGGCGCUUAACUCUUCAUUCAAAUUAUUUGGCACCUUGGCGCCUUGUGUCUGCCUGUGUGUUUGAGUAUGGAGUACUACUCCUGUUUUAUUAAUGUGUGGCAGUAGUAAUACUUUAUUUGUACCUAAUGAUUAGGUGUACUAGUACUGAGGGUAGUUUAGCCUUU